AACAAGGUUUCCGUAGGUAUGUGAACACGUUAAACCCCCUCUAUAAAACUCUCGAAUUUUUUUAACUAACUCAUUUCUAAUAGGUGAACCUGCGGAAGGAUCAUU
rnacentral:rRNA from 1 species